GGCCCCAGGCUGGUGCCCGUCUCCUCUAAAGCUCGGGGGUCGGCGCAGCCUGGCAUCAUCGGGCCUGUUAUGCGGGUUCUGGUCUCUCUCUGCCCACAGACCCGCCAAGCUCACCAGCUAGUCAGUGUGCAGCCAGCACAGCAGGAGCGCGGCUUGCUAGGGCCCUCAGAACAAGCCGUGUGGCCCGAGGCCUUCACACAGGAUCUGUGCUGAGACCUCAAGGUGCUGGUGCCUCUGGCUGCUGCAUCAUUUACAGAGGAAUUGUCUGGGAUGUGCCAGGCCUAGCACUCUGGCUCUCGCUGGUGUGCGUGUCAGCACACUAGUGACAUGGCAGGUUCAGGUCGGUGGACAGACUGGACUUGGAAACACCUUCUUGUGUCCUCGAAACGACGUGGCGCACAGCCAGCUCACAGCACCCAAAAGCGCGGGCAAGUUGCAGCGCGGCAGCUCCUCCUGUCUGAGCAGGAGCAGGUGCGUUCCUGAGGUCCUGGCCACUUCUGCAGGAGCAUCUGAGGGAGCCCAGCUGAUUUACCACGACCCCUGACCUCCCAGGUUAGCCUUUCCGUCCAACAGCACCAGGACUGGACCCUGGCACUGGACAGGCCACCUUGGCUGAGGAUCGUGUGUGCCUGGGUCUGUGCGGUGCUGGUGCCCACAGGCCCUGGGUCUGUGUUGCACGGCCUUGGAAAGCAGUGCACAUCCUGUCUGCACCGUUCGUCUGUGGUGAAGCCAUCUUUGUCUGUGUGGCCAUGGGAGGGUCUGUGCUGUGUGUGCGUCGUGCGAGAGUCGGGAGCUGCUGCACCACACACAGGCACGCAGGGUGUGGGCACAUCUGUGCUUCUGAGCACGCGUGCCCUUGCCGGUGGCCAGGCACACACACAGCUGUGCAUCCUUGGCCCAAGAUCAGCUGUGCCACACCUGCAGGCUGCAAGAUCUUUUCUGUAUAUCUCCCUCCAUCACCAGAAGUAAGCUCAGGACGGAGGCUGACGGGCUGGCCUCAGCACUGCUCACCUGCACCUCCUGGCUGCACCUGUGGCCCCGGACUCGGCUUCCCCAUCUCUCUCCUCCCCACCCCACCUCUGGUUCUGUACCACAUCUGGGCUCAAUAAAUGGUUGAU